rnacentral:tRNA from 1 species
GCCGGAGUGGUGGAAUUGGUAGACGCGGAGGACUCAAAAUCCUCUGGCCUUUACGGCCGUGUCGGUUCGAGUCCGACCUCCGGCACCA